UACGUAGGGGGCAAGCGUUGUCCGGAUUUAUUGGGCGUAAAGAGCGUGUAGGCGGCUUUACAGGUCCGUUGUGAAAACUCGAGGCUCAACCUCGAGACGCCGGUGGAAACCGUAAAGCUAGAGUCCGGAAGAGGAGAGUGGAAUUCCUGGUGUAGCGGUGAAAUGCGCAGAUAUCAGGAGGAACACCAACGGCGAAAGCGGCGCGCUGGACCACUACUGACGCUGAGGAACGAAAGCUAGGGGAGCAAACAGG
rnacentral:rRNA from 1 species